GCUGGUCAUGGUGGUGCAUGCCUGUAGUCCCAGCUACUUGGGAGGCUGAGGUGGGAGGACUGCUUGAGUCCAGGAGUUCUGGGCUGUAGUGCGCUAUGCCAACUGGUGUCUGCACGGUUCGGCAUCAAUGUGGUAACCUCCUGGUAGCAGGGGACCACAAGGUUGCCUAAGGAGGGGUGAACCGGCCCAGGUUGGAAAUGGAGCAGGUAAAAACUCCUGCACUGAUCAGUAGUGGGAUUUUGCCUGUGAAUAGCCACUGCACUCCAGCCUGGGCAACAUAGCGAGACCCUGUCUCUU
ensembl:misc_RNA Metazoa_SRP Metazoan signal recognition particle RNA